CAAUAGCGUAUAUUAAAGUUGUUGCAGUUAAAAAGCUCGUAGUUGGAUUUCUGGUGGGAGCGAUCGGUCUGGCGCUUAGCGCGAGUACUUGCAUCGUCUCCGGCCAUCCUUGGGGAGAGUCUGUCUGGCAUUAGGUUGUCGGGCAGAGGAUCCUCAUCGUUUACUGUGAAAAAAUUAGAGUGUUCAAAGCAGGCUUAUGCCGUUGAAUAUAUUAGCAUGGAAUAAUAAGAUAGGACUUUGGUACUAUUUUGUUGGUUUGCGCACCAAAGUAAUGAUUAAUAGGGACAGUUGGGGGUAUUCGUAUUCCGUUGUCAGAGGUGAAAUUCUUGGAUUUACGGAAGACGAACUUCUGCGAAAGCAUUUGCCAAGGAUGUUUUCAUUAA
rnacentral:rRNA from 1 species